CUGGCAACGCUAUCAGCUGUUUCAUUUUGACAACCGCUUAAACAAUUCCAGUUUUGCUGCAAAUUCCAAACACAUUUAUCAAAUGCUCUUCUACUCAUUCUUCAAAUCCCUUGUGGGGAAAGAUGUCGUCGUGGAACUUAAAAAUGACUUAAGCAUUUGCGGAACAUUACAUUCUGUAGACCAGUACUUAAAUAUUAAAUUAACCGAUAUUAAUGUUACGGAUCCAGAUAAAUAUCCACAUAUGUUGUCCGUGAAGAAUUGUUUCAUCAGAGGCUCCGUUGUUCGGUACGUACAAUUACCUGGCGAUGAGGUAGACACUCAACUAUUACAGGAUGCAGCGCGGAAGGAAGCCGUCGUCAGUACGAGAUAAAAGUAUAAACAUUUCCAUGCAGUUCAUAUAGUACAUAUACACAUCAAGUCAAUAAUUAAAAUGCUUAGUUAAACGCGACGCCAAC